rnacentral:misc_RNA from 1 species
GAUGAAGAACGUAGCGAAAUGCGAUAAGUAGUGUGAAUUGCAGAAUUCAGUGAAUCAUCGAAUCUUUGAACGCACAUUGCGCCCCUUGGUAUCCCGAGGGGCAUGCCUGUUCGAGCGUCAUUUCACCACUCAAGCCUGGCUUGGUGUUGGGCGACGUCCUCUUUGGGGACGCGCCUCGAAACGCUCGGCGGCGUGGCACCGGCUUUAAGCGUAGCAGAAUCUUUCGCUUUGGAAGUCGGGGCCCCGUCUGCCGGAAGACCUGCUCGCAAGGUUGACCUCGGAUCAGGCAGGGAUACCCGCUGAACUUAAGCAUAUCAAUAAGCGGAAGGA